CAGAGAACCAGAGCUUAUCGGCCAAAAGCAGCUUUUGCUGUUUGGGAGCAGCGACAGACCACCGAGGAAAUAACAACUGCAGCGGAUGGCCACUUGCUGAUACUGUCACCGUGGUCGACCAUGGGCCACUUGAGAUUGCGGCUCUGCUACCAUGUUGGGCUCCAGCCAGAUUUCACAUCUCAUCCUCCUUCCAUUAAGCAGUGUGGGAGUGGUUAAAUAAAUGCCUCUGCUUAUAGCUAUUUGGUGAGGUAACAACGGGCUUUGUCAGUUAACAUAAUCAAAACAUUUAGGUUUAACAUUUGCUGGAGCAUAUAUAUGCUACAUAUGAACAUAUAUAUAACAUUUAAUAUUUAAGAUUUAGAUAUAAGAUUUAAUAUAGAUAUAGAUCUAACAUAGCAUUAAGAUUUAGAUGUAAUAUUUAGAUUUAAUGUUAUGUUUGACGUGUAUUUAUAUGUAGUUAACAAUUAUAUUAAAUGUACACAUUUAAUACGUUGAUAUCGUGUGUUGUUGGAAAUACAUAACAAAUUUACAAAAUGUUGUACAUAAGUUUUUGUACUCUAUUCUACGAACAGUAAUAAGACUAUGUUGCAGGCUUGUCAACUCUAACACACACUGAAAGUUCAGGGUGAAGGCACAACAUACAGUCCUUUCCCCCUCAAGUCACAGUAGAGAGUGACUGUGGCGUGAUUGGCUGGAUAGGCUCACACGAGAGCGUAAAGGAGGUUUUGGUUGUCACACUCAGCCGUGGCUUCCAGCUCUCUGGCUCUGCCAUUCCCUCAUUAGCUCAACCACUUCCACCUGCUGGUGUCACCUGCCAGUUACCAAUCAGUGCUCCUAUA